rnacentral:rRNA from 1 species
CACAGGUUUACCUGUGUGACUGCGUACCUUUUGUAUAAUGGGUCAGCGACUUAUAUUCUGUAGCAAGGUUAACCGAAUAGGGGAGCCGGAGGGAAACCGAGUCUUAAUUGGGCGUUAAGUUGCAGGGUAUAGACCCGAAACCCGGUGAUCUAGCCAUGGGCAGGUUGAAGGUUGGGUAACACUAACUGGAGGACCGAACCGACUAAUGUUGAAAAAUUAGCGGAUGACCUGUGGCUGGGGGUGAAAGGCCAAUCAAACCGGGAGAUAGCUGGUUCUCCCCGAAAGCUAUUUAGGUAGCGCCUCGUGAAUUCAUCUCCGGGGGUAGAGCACUGUUUCGGCUAGGGGGCCAUCCCGGCUUACCAACCCGAUGCAAACUGCGAAUACCGGAGAAUGUUAUCACGGGAGACACACGGCGGGUGCUAACGUCCGUCGUGAAGAGGGAAACAACCCAGACCGCCAGCUAAGGUCCCAAAGUCAUGGUUAAGUGGGAAACGAUGUGGGAAGGCCCAGACAGCCAGGAUGUUGGCUUAGAAGCAGCCAUCAUUUAAAGAAAGCGUAAUAGCUCACUGGUCGAGUCGGCCUGCGCGGAAGAUGUAACGGGGCUAAACCAUGCACCGAAGCUGCGGCAGCGAACGUAUCACUUAAAGCGAUUCAGCGGGUUACGAUUGACGGAGCGAAGCGACGUCAAAGCGUAUACAAAGUCGAGUCGGUUUAAGGAUACGUUCGUU